CUGGUCUGGAAUAAUUGACAGGUCCUAUGGAGGAAGCAGCAGAGACUCUGCUCUCCUCGUUUGGAUUAAUUCUGAUAUAAUAACUGUUGGUUUAUUUAUCGGUGCAGCAGCAGAACAUUUUCCACAGACAGUUUUCCUGCUCGUUGGCUUGUUUUAACCAGUUUUCUACCUUCAGCUGAUUCUACCAGGAGACACUGAAAGGACUCUGAUAAUUCGAGUGAAAGUAGCAGUUCCUCCUGAAGGUCAGAGAUUGCAGCAUCUGAUGGCCUCUUCAAAAGAAGACGUAGUUGAUGAAGGCGCUCUGGAGCAGGACCAGAAAGACCACGACCAAGCAGCCUUGAGAUCUUAGGCAGCGUCUCCCUCAGGUCCCUCUCUAUCUCCCCACACAUCCACCAACCACUGGAACACAUCUCCAAAGUUCUGCUGGGCCAGCUCAGCUUCCCCUCAGAAGAAGUGGCGCCACCUGCCAGAUGAAGGAGCCUUUUGAGAGGCAGCUGGCAUCGUGAUUGGACUGUACUUUGGUCUGUUCCAAUCCAGCUUCAGCUCCAGAGACGGCAGGCGGGACGAGUCAACGGAGGCCGGGUGGAUGAAGGCAUGCAGCUGAGUACAAUCCAGAAAACAACAGAGGAAGAAACAAACAUAGUGUAUACAUCAUAUACUGUAUAAAAGACACAUCCACUGUAGAAUUGUAGUAAUUGUGGGCUGACUGAUUUACUGAUUAGCAGUAUUUUAUUUUUUACUGAUUUACGGUAAUAAAUACAUUUAAAAAUGGCGCUACUUUGGCUCUGAACCUUUAUCUACCUGUGGUCGCUCUGUCUUCUGGAGUGAUUUGAUUGGUUAUACGUCACAAAUAAAACUCCUUUAACUUAACAUCUGUAAACAAAACAAAAACGUAUCAACAAAGUUUUCUGUUAGAGUUUGUGUUCUUCUAAGUUUAACUCCAAGAUUUUUAAUACUUU